CAGUAGCCGCGGUAACACGUAGGGUGCGAGCGUUAAUCGGAAUUACUGGGCGUAAAGCGUGCGCAGGCGGUUCGUUAAGACAGAUGUGAAAUCCCCGGGCUUAACCUGGGAACUGCAUUUGUGACUGGCGAGCUAGAGUAUGGCAGAGGGGGGUGGAAUUCCGCGUGUAGCAGUGAAAUGCGUAGAUAUGCGGAGGAACACCGAUGGCGAAGGCAGCCCCCUGGGUCAACACUGACGCUCAUGCACGAAAGCGUGGGGAGCAAACAGGAUUAGAUACCCCGGUAGUCCCUGUCUCUUAUAC
rnacentral:rRNA from 1 species